rnacentral:tRNA from 1 species
GGGGCUGUAGUUUAACGGUAAAAUGCUCUGGCCUGUCACCCGAGAGAUGCGAGUUCAAAUCUCGUCGGCUCCACCA